CUUCUCGCGCCCCUUUCUCUCUUGUCCCGCCCUGGGAUGAGAGGCGUGGGUUUUACCCAAUAGGGUUUGAGAAGAUCGGGGCGGCCCCCACUCACAGAGCUUGUCUUGGGAAAGCGGAAUGUUUGGAUGGUUAACGCGGAGAAAGAGGCGUGUUUGCUCGUGGUACUAGGCCUCCGACUUUAAGGGAGGCUUGAGGGUCGGAAAUGAGAAGAAAGCAGGUUAAGGAAACAGAUCUUCAGCAAGGCCCUGGAGGACAGGAGUACUUGUAGUUUGAGAGACCGAGUCGUACUUUUCAUUUCUGCUGUUGAGGAAGCAAAAAUCUGCCCAGCCAUUCAUCAGGUAGAAGAAUGUGAGCUGUCACUGGGGAGGAACACAUUGGAUGCUUCAUCUGUACUGACUUCUCAGGGUGCUAGCCAUCCCAAACAACAAUGAAGCAAGAAACAAACUCUACCUUUGAUAAUACUAGAAGAUCCAUAUAACCCUGAAACUCAUCAGGUCUUCCAGGUCCAACCUGUCAACUUGCAGACUAAUACAAUACGCUGGGCCAUGAAGAAGACUGGACAAAAAUGGCCCAGUGCUAAUCUUUUAUCUGGAGAACAAAAGUAGCUCAAAGCAUAUGAUCCUACAGUACCUCUAUUAGUUUGCUACUGCUGAUUUAACAAAUUAAAUAAAAUACAGAGAAGGAUGUGGGACUGAAAACAGGGAAUAAUUGAAUGACUGCAUUUCUAAGUGUUAGUCCACCCAGCUCCCAAAUGCCUGCACCCAGCUUACACCUCCGGCAGUUUAAUCUGACAGUUAUGGAGGUUGAAUCCAAAAUAGGUCACAAUGGGUCAAAAUCCAUGUGUCAGCGGGGAUGCCUGAAGGUUCUAGAGGAGAAAGCAUCUCCUUGCCUUUUUCAGAAUCCAGCAGCCUCCUCCUGCAUUCGUUGGCUUGCGGCCUCUUCUUCCAUCUUCAAAGCCAGCAAUAUCCAGCCAAGUCUUUCUCACACUGCAUCACACUGACACUGACUCUUCUGCCUCCCUCUUCCACAUUUAAGGACGCUUGAGAUUACACUGGGCCCACCUGGAUAAUCUCUCCAUCUCAAAGAUCUUUAACCACAUCUGCAAAGUCCUACCGCCAUGUAAGGCAACAUAUUCACAACAGGUUCUGACAAUUAGGAUGUGGAUAUCCUUGGGGGGAAGCACUGUUCUUCCUACCAUGGUACCCAAUAGCUUUAUUUCUACCAAAUGGUCUCUCUCUCAAAGAGCAAGCCUUACAAGCACGCAAGACUUACUUUUCCUAUGAAAAAGACGUUGGAAUACUCUGUUUAAUGUAAAGAACACAUUCUCUCCUACUAUGAUUCUUUUCCUUGUCAUGUAUCCAAACAUGAAACAUAAGAAAUCAGAAAAGAUAUUUUACUAAGAAAAAACUGAGAAGACAAUUUAGUCACC